CUCCUCUCAGGGUCGCACCUAGAGUUUCCAGUCCUCUACCAGUCUCGACUAUGGGAGGGAGAGUCAAGCAGAGGCAUACCCAUUCCAUUCCCAGUUUGGGCAGUGACUAGCGAGUGGAAGGAAAUCUGCUACAAGU